UGACUCAAAACAAGAAGCUGAGAACUGUGAGGCGGACGUGCACAACAUGCUACGUCGUUUGCUUGCGAAUAAAUAUCAAAUCUCUAUCGGCGUACCAAUGAAUUAAGAUCAAAUGAAAAGACGGCGCUUGUCAUGUUUUAUGUAUAGAUGCAGUAAAUAAGCAAAUGGAUACAGAAUGGUUUGGGGAGUUCUAUGAAUAUCAACUUGUGAAGAUGAAUCCUUCACACCCGAGGACACAUGAACAAACACACUGUACAUCCUGCAUAAGCGCAAAGCCUUAUUUUAACUGGUGAUAUGUUCCCUUGAUUAUUGUGAAAUUCAAUACUAUUUCUCUUACGCUCACCUCAAGAGAGCCAAAUGCGGCCUUGUAGUGUGUGUGUGUGUGUGUGUGUGUGUGUGUGUGUGUGUGUGUGUGCAUGUGUGUGUGAAAUGACUCCUGCUGAGGCACAAUGGGAAACUUCCCCAGUGUCCUCCUCUCCUUCGCCUGUCUCUCGUUUCUAUUUCUUUUCUCCCCCUCCCUCCUUUCUGUCUCAUGAUUUCACACCGACGCAGACGUUUACAGGCUCGCAGAUUUCCCACAUUUAUUUCUUAAAUGAGUGAGGGCGCGGGGGACAGCUCCGUUUGUUGUCACGGCUUUUUGUGUUGGAAGCUGUGACGGUGUUUUUAUUCAACAUAUGUUAUAAGUGAGAGGCCGAGUGUUGCACACUUGAAAGAAAAAUAAACACCCGGCGCUUGACACACAUAUCACAGUAUUAAUUGGUGUUACAGGAAAAACGUGGAUUUCUGUCAAUCUCUCCGUGGUGUUUGGUGAGUUGAUGUGUGGAUGCUAAUGUUUUCUGUUUUAUUGCCAAGCAUCAGUUUGGCAGUCUUGUUACCCUUUAAGCAACAGAUACCUGAACACAAAUGCUGCAACAACACAGACAGGCCAUGAAACAAUACUCACAGGUAUAUAUUCUUUAUCCCCCGCAAAGACCGACCAAGGAAUACUGUUGUACUGAGAAAUUGUGACAGGAGCUAAUCCUUCAGUACACUAAUUCUCUGAUUUUUCUUAUAUUGCGCUCAGGUGGCCAAGGCUCACCCACCAGAAUUUGCAGUUGAGGAAACUGUGACCAAAACUGUAUAAUUCAUUUCAUUUGUCUUUAAUUGUGUAAUUAUUUUAUGUUUUUACAAAGUUUAAUAUAGAGUGCUAUUUUCCUUCCUUAAAAACAUUUUUUGGGGUGGCUUACUGCCAUUUCCAUUUAUUUCAGUGGGGGAAGGCGUUUUGAUGUACAGUAUUUUUAACGGAAGGCAGCGCCGCAUAAUGUCCGCAGUCCUCGACUUUUGACUAUUUUCCUCUCUGCUAAUCUUUUCAGACAGUCGGAUGCAGAACACUAUGGCCGGCUACCCUAUGGAUGCAGCUUCAUACAUCUUUCAAGAUGAGAGGGAGGCUCCAGUUUCUCACGCCUCGUGGGAUGACGAAGGAGAGAGAGGACAUGCGGACGUGCCUAACCCACAUACCGAGUCGUGAAGAAAGAAUCACCCUUUGUUCACUACUUUCCCCGCCUCUCCUGCGUCGUGAGGCAAGGGCCGCAUGUGGAGGGUGUGGACUGUGAGCAGACUCUCCACUCUCUGUGCUGGGUGUACGAUAGCGAUAAUUCAAUUGAACUGGCACGGCCUGGCCUGUGGGAUUGACUGCUUGUGGAAAGACGCUCAUCAAAAAGCCAAAUGGGACGCUACCAAAUUUGGGAAUGUUGACGUGGAGCUGCCCAUCCAGCUGCUGUGGCUCCUUCCAGUCUGUCAGCCAGCCAGACUCAUCAGCCGUGGACAAGUGCCCAGAAGGUAAAUGAAACCACUCCUGUGUCUCAGGCACAAUACCUCGAUUGAUUUCACACAGCGUAGUCUUGAAUUAUAAACACACACACUUCUACCCACAUAUGCAAAUCAAAAGUCUCAUCUUACCCGAAAUAGUCGAACCGCUACUACUGUACAUAAAGAAACAUUAGAUAUAUCAUUAUUCGACGUAAGUCAUCAGAAAUAAUGACUGAAUGAGCUAGUAGACUAAACUGGAAUCACCAUGGCAACAAGAAAUUCUCACCUCGCAGAGUGACGCAUCUACAGCAUGAGAUGCCGCUGGAAUGUGGCAAAAUGACAUAGUUGGAGACAAUCCUACUUUUUUUUGCAUUCCUUGCAUACUUUUGACCCAACUUCCACCAUCAGACAAAAAAAAAAAAAAGCACUUUAUACAGAGUUUUGGGAAAAAAUGAAAUGCUGUCGGUGCUGUUUUUGAAGCCCAGUUCAUAUAUUCUUUCAGACCCUAUAAGGUGAAUUCAGAGAUUUGUUUCUCAAUACAUUACACAUGUUUGAAGGUACUUGCUGAAAAAAUGUGCAAGGACUGGAAAUGAUGUAGUGGUAAAUUGUGGAGGUAUACUAUUAUACUAUUAUACAGCGCACAUGAUGAACAAGCACACAUCAUUUGAUAACAGAGACAACGACUUGAUUUGUCAUGAUUUUGAGGCCUCUUUUUAAAUACUUGGUGAUUUUUUUUUUCACCUUUCAAUUUUCUCAGAAUUGUUAGUGGUAGUCUUCUCUGUGGUAUCAAAUUUACAAAACAUUUUCACUUUAGAGGGACUUCAAGCAUGGAGAGUAUUUCUUUCUCAUGACCUUUCUAACACACUAUCAGACAUGCUAACUGACAAAUGUAUCUGCCAUUUUCUCCCCAGCCCAAAUCGAAACAUUGUAUUUGGAAAUACUUGUUUAGCGCACACGCAUGUACAGUUUGUGCGCACACACACGCACACACACACAGACAGACCCCCAGCUGCUGUGCUCAUGUAAUUUAUUACCCCUCCUGAACCCAGUGGAGUCAUGAAAUCACCUCUGUCUUUGUGACACACACACACACACACACUGACAUAGACAUAGACGAGUCUUUCUCAAACAGUGGUGCCGGCCCGCUACACUCGAUUCGAGACCUCUUUGGGUUAAUUAGAAUGGCAUCCCAAGGGAGAGAACACCAGGUCGGAGUUGUGCACUGGAAGGAUGAAUGCGUGUAAAAGGUCCUCUAGUCUGGUAAGAAAAUGGAACACAGAAGAGUGCAGUGCUUUGAUAGCAAUCUUGACUGAACUCAGUGGUUCAGAUGAUGCCACUUUCUGGAAUCUGUUGUCUUAAUUCUGAGAGGAAGAAUUAUUGCAUCACUAUUGUUAUUAGUAUUAUAUUAUUAUUGUGAAGGAAGAAUUGAAGCAGAAAAAAAAAAUAUGUAACGACAAUGAAACAGUCACAUUAUUAGAAAAAGAAUAGGUAGUAAUGAAAUGACAAUAGUCACACUUUUACCUGAACACAUCUAUUUAAGGAUAUGAAUAUAAGGAUAAAAGGGCCAAGUUAACAAUUGAAACCACCUAUGAGGCAGAGUCAUAUAUUUAGUCCCAAUAUUUUAGCGUAUGUCAUCGGUCAUGGAAUGACUCAAAAGUGCUUGCUCGGAACUAACUGUUAAAUAAAUAAACAUUCAGUUAUUGUCAACAGCCGUUGAAAACAUCAACACUCACCUUUA